UCUUCAUUUCCCACACUCUCUCACCGGUCAGAGAGGCGAGAGAGUGUGGAAAAGGAAGAGA
rnacentral:pre_miRNA from 1 species